GAUAACAAGCCGGUCUUCCCCAAGAGUCCACACCAAAGGAAGGUUUGGCACGGCUCUCCGCCGCCUAGAGUUGUAGGUUGUUUCAAGGGUUGGGUUGUUCGCCCACUAAUGUGGUACAUGAGCUUGGGUCAGAACAUCGUGAGACAAUUC
rfam:Triticum urartu cultivar G1812 contig866205, whole genome shotgun sequence.